rnacentral:rRNA from 1 species
AACGCGAAGAACCUUACCAGGCCUUGACAUCUUGAGAAUUCGGUAGAGAUACCUUAGUGCCUUCGGGAACCCAGUGACAGGUGUUGCAUGGCUGUCGUCAGCUCGUGUCGUGAGAUGUUGGGUUAAGUCCCGUAACGAGCGCAACCCUUAUCCUUAUUUGCCAGCACUUCGGGUGGGAACUUUAAGGAGACUGCCGGUGACAAACCGGAGGAAGGAGAGGAUGACGUCAAGUCAUCAUGGCCCUUACGGCCUGGGCUACACACGUGCUACAAUGGACAGUACAGAGGGCCGCAAUACCGCGAGGUGGAGCAAAUCCCAGAAAACUGUUCGUAGUCCGGAUCGGAGUCUGCAACUCGACUCCGUGAAGUCGGAAUCGCUAGUAAUCGUGAAUCAGAGUGUCACGGUGAAUACGUUCCCGGGUCUUGUACACACCGAAU